GACGGAGGGGGCAAGCGUUGUCCGGACUUACUGGGCGUAAAGCGCACGUAGGCGGCUCGAUGCGUCGGUGCUGAAAGCGCCAGGCUUAACCUGGCGAGGCGUGCCGAUACGAUCGGGCUCGAGGCAGGCAGAGGGUGGCGGAAUUCCGGGUGUAGUGGUGAAAUGCGUAGAGAUCCGGAGGAACGCCUGUGGCGCAAGCGGCCACCUGGGCCUGUCCUGACGCUGAGGUGCGAAAGCGUGGGGAGCGAACCGG
rnacentral:rRNA from 2 species